AAGUCGUAACAAGGUUUCCGUAGGUGAGCCUGCGGAAGGAUCAUUAUUGAAUGAACUUGGUCGGGCUGAUGCUGGUCUCUCCUUGGAGGGGCAUGUGCACGCCUGGCACCAUCUUCUUUUACCACCUGUGCACCUUUUGUAGACUGUGGGGACUACCUUUCCGAGGUCAAACUCGGUUGAAAGGAUUGCUGAUGCCAGCUUUCCUUUGCCUGUCUUCUUGUCUAUGCCUUUUUUUUUUUAUCACAAAUGUAUGACAAUGAAUGUUAUGUUGGGCAUUAUUGCCUUUAAAAACCUAAUACAACUUUCAACAACGGAUCUCUUGGCUCUCGCAUCGAUGAAGAACGCAGCGAAAUGCGAUAAGUAAUGUGAAUUGCAGAAUUCAGUGAAUCAUCGAAUCUUUGAACGCACCUUGCGCUCCUUGGUAUUCCGAGGAGCAUGCCUGUUUGAGUAUCAUGAAAUUCUCAACCUUGCUUUUGCAUCUGUGAAAUCAAGGUUGGAUUGUGGGGGACUUUUUUGCAGGCUUCAAAUCGAAGUCUGCUCUCCUGAAAUAUAUUAGCAGAGUUGCAUGAACAGCUUUUUAUUGGUGUGAUAAUCAUCUAUGCCAUGGGCUGUGAAAGCGAGUUUGCCUUCCAAUUUUAACAUCCGUUAUUCAUGACUUUUUGAUCUCAAAUCAGGUAGGACUACCCGCUGAACUUAAGCAUAUCAAUAAGCGGAGGAAAAGAAACUAACAAGGAUUCCCCUAGUAACUGCGAGUGAAGCGGGAAGAGCUCAAAUUUAAAAUCUGGCAAUCCUUGUGGUUGUCCGAGUUGUAAUCUAGAGAA
rnacentral:misc_RNA from 1 species